AGUUUGUAUAGUUUAAACAAAACAUUAGGCUGUGAACCUAAAAACAGGCCUACGCCUUACAGACC
rnacentral:tRNA from 1 species